CCUACGGGAGGCAGCAGUGAGGAAUAUUGGUCAAUGGGCGAGAGCCUGAACCAGCCAAGUCGCGUGAGGGAGUAAUGCGCUAUGGGUUGUAAACUUCUUUUGUCGGGGAGCAAAAGCCGCACGUGUUCGGCUUUUAGGGUACUCGAAGAAAAAGCAUUGGCCAACUCCGUGCCAGCAGCCGCGGUAAUACGGAGGAUGAGAGCGGUAUUCGGAUUUAUUGGGUUUAAAGGGUGCGCAGGCGGAUUUUUAAGUCAGCGGGAAAAACGUGGGGCUCAACCCCCGCCAGCCGUUGAAACUGGGGAUCUAGAGAGUGCGAGAGGUAUGCGGAAUGCGUGGUGUAGCGGUGAAAUGCAUAGAUAUCACGCAGAACCCCGAUUGCGAAGGCAGCAUACCGGUGCACAACUGACGCUCAGGCACGAAAGCGUGGGUAUCGAACAGGAUUAGAUACCCCUGUAGUC
rnacentral:rRNA from 1 species